ensembl:lncRNA
UCCCUAUCUCUAUGUCAUCUUUUUUCUAUCUCUUUGCAUUCCUUUCCCUAUGUUCAUGCCAUUUGUUUCCAUUUCUAGGCCACCCUUUCCCCCAUCUCUAUGCCAAGUGAAAUUUGUGAAAGCAAUUCUGUGCAGAGUCUCACUGCAUUGUUUUUAGUGGUUUUAAAUUGGUGAGUUGAAGCCAGGGAGAGAAGAAAUCGUCUCUCCUUUUUGACCUCAGCAUGCAAGGAUCAUUCUGCUCAGGGCAAAACAUGCAGCUUGUUUAAAAACACUUGUCCACUAGCAUCUUUAAUCCACUUCUUCUAACCUAAGGCAUUUCAAUACAAUAACAAUAACCUGUUUUCUGUAACAGAUUCUUCAUAUCUGUAGCAGUGAAUCAAAGGUCUCCCUCUGCUCAUGGAGUUAUAAAGGUUAAAGCUUCAAGAAAAGAUGUGAUCUAAUCUGAACAGGUGCAUUAUAUAAACUCGCUGAGUCUCCCUCCCUCCCUCCAUUUAUUCUUAUUAGCUGCACAAAUAGGCAUCCAAAAUUAAAAAAGAAGAACCAGACCAUUGUUAACAUUUUCUUAGAAAAUGAAAUCUGCCCAAGCAUUAACUUCUGAAUGAGCGAAGAGCAUUUAAAAACGCAUUCCCUCAUAGUCAUGGCAAUCAUUUGAAAACGUUCAUUGUAAUCCACAAACAUAAUUUACAGUCUUACACUUGAGCAAUUCUUAAUUUUCCUUCAAGGUGGAUUUUAAUGAAUUCCAAUUUGUAAAAUCUCCUUCCUAUUAUUUGUUAUUUUCCAGAUCAGAACCUCCUUCUUUGGACAUUUUUCAACAGAGAUUGGAAGGCUAUGUCUCAGGAAUGCUUUAGCUGUAUAUUCCUGCACGGAAGGAGGCGGAACUAGGCAGACUUUGCAGUCCCUUCCAUCUUUAUGAAUGCAUAAUUCGCCCCUCAGCAUACUCACUGGACAUCUUGAAGAACAACAAUUUUCCCUGUCUCCUUGGGAGCAAAACAAUAGAAAGCACAGCCUGAGAAUUGGAAGAAAAUCGUGGAGAUCAAUGAAGGAAGAAG